UACAGAGGGUGCAAGCGUUAAUCGGAUUUACUGGGCGUAAAGGGCGCGUAGGUGGUUACAUAAGUGAGAUGUGAAAGCCCCGGGCUUAACCUGGGAACUGCAUCUUAUACUGUGUAGCUGGAGUGCAAUAGAGGGUAGUGGAAUUUCCGGUGUAGCGGUGAAAUGCGUAGAUAUCGGAAGGAACACCAGUGGCGAAGGCGGCUACCUGGAUUGACACUGACACUGAGGCGCGGGAGCGUGGGGAGCAAACAGG
rnacentral:rRNA from 1 species